GGACAGAAAGACCCUAUGAAGCUUUACUGUAGUUUGGAAUUGGGUUCGGGCUCUUCUUGCGCAGCCUAGGUGGGAGGCUAUGAAGAUAAACUUUUGGGUUUAUUGGAGCCAACAGUGAGAGACCACUCUAGAGGAGCUAGAAUUCUAAUGGCGUUCCUUGAAGCAGGACGCUUGACAGUUUCAGAUGGGCAGUUUGACUGGGGCGGUCACCCCCUAAAAGGUAACGGAGGUGUGCAAAGGUUCCCUCAGGCUGGACGGAAAUCAGCCGUAGAGUGUAAAGGCAGAAGGGAGCUUGACUGCAAGACCUACAAGUCGAGCAGGGGCGAAAGCCGGCCUUAGUGAUCCGACGGUUCCGAGUGGAAGGGCCGUCGCUAAACGGAUAAAAGUUACUCUAGGGAUAACAGGCUGA
rnacentral:rRNA from 1 species